GACAGAGGGUGCAAACGUUGUUCGGAAUUACUGGGCGUAAAGCGCGUGUAGGCGGCUAAGUAAGUCGGGCGUGAAAUCCCACGGCUCAACCGUGGAAGUGCACUCGAGACUGCAUAGCUAGAGUCCUGGAGAGGAAGGUGGAAUGCUUGGUGUAGAGGUGAAAUUCGUAGAUAUCAAGCGGAACACCGGUGGCGAAGGCGGCCUUCUGGACAGUGACUGACGCUGAGACGCGAAAGCGUGGGGAGCAAACAGG
rnacentral:rRNA from 1 species